rnacentral:rRNA from 1 species
UACGUAGGGUGCGAGCGUUGUCCGGAAUUAUUGGGCGUAAAGAGCGCGUAGGCGGUCCGAUAAGUCGGCUGUGAAAGUCAGGGGCUCAACCCUUGAAAGCCGGCCGAUACUGCCGGGCUAGAGUCCGGAAGAGGCGAGUGGAACUCCUGGUGUAGCGGUGGAAUGCGCAGAUAUCAGGAAGAACACCGACGGCGAAGGCAGCUCGCUGGGACGGUACUGACGCUGAGGCGCGAAAGCGUGGGGAGCGAACAGG